rnacentral:rRNA from 1 species
AUUGAACGCUGGCGGCAUGCCUUACACAUGCAAGUCGAACGGCAGCACGGGUGCUUGCACCUGGUGGCGAGUGGCGAACGGGUGAGUAAUACAUCGGAACAUGUCCUGUAGUUGGGGAUAGCCCGGCGAAAGCCGGAUUAAUACCGCAUACGAUCUACGGAUGAAAGCGGGGGCCCUUCGGGCCUCGCGCUAUAGGGUUGGCCGAUGGCUGAUUAGCUAGUUGGUGGGGUAAAGGCCCACCAAGGCGACGAUCAGUAGCUGGUCUGAGAGGACGACCAGCCACACUGGGACUGAGACACGGCCCAGACUCGUACGGGAGGCAGCAGUGGGGAAUUUUGGACAAUGGGCGAAAGCCUGAUCCAGCAAUGCCGCGUGUGUGAAGAAGGCCUUCGGGUUGUAAAGCACUUUUGUCCGGAAAGAAAUCCUUGGCCCUAAUACGGUCGGGGGAUGACGGUACCGGAAGAAUAAGCACCGGCUAACUACGUG